GACGGAGGAUGCAAGUGUUAUCCGGAAUCACUGGGCGUAAAGCGUCUGUAGGUGGUUUAAAAAGUCUAUUGUUAAAAAUUGAAGCUUAACUUCAAAGAUGCAAUGGAAACUUUUAAACUUGAGUAUGGUAGGGGUAGAGGGAAUUUCCAGUGGAGCGGUGAAAUGCGUAGAUAUUGGAAAGACCACCGAUGGCGAAGGCACUCUACUGGGCCAUGACUGACACUGAGAGACGAAAGCUAGGGGGAGCGAAUGGG
rnacentral:rRNA from 1 species